rnacentral:rRNA from 1 species
AUUCCGGUUGAUCCUGCCGGAGGACAUUGCUAUUGGGAUUCGAUUUAGCCAUGCUAGUCGAACGAGUUCAGACUCGUGGCGAAUAGCUCAGUAACACGUGGCCAAGCUCCCCUUCAGUCAGCGAUACCCUCGGGAAACUGAGGUUAACAGCUGAUACAAAACGCCAGCUGGAAUGCGGCGUUUCAGAAAGACAUCACAGGAUGUGGCUGCGGCCGAUUAGGUAGACGGUGGGGUAACGGCCCACCGUGCCAGUAAUCGGUACGGGUGAUGAGAGUCAGAGCCCGGAGACGGAAUCUGAGACAAGAUUCCGGGCCCUACGGGGCGCAGCAGGCGCGAAACCUUUACACUGCACGGAAGUGCGAUAGGGGAAUCCCAAGUGCGAGGGCAUAUUAGCCCUCGCUUUUCUCGACUGUAAGGUGGUCGACGAAUAAGAGCUGGGCAAGACCGGUGCCAGCCGCCGCGGUAAUACCGGCAGCUCAAGUGAUGUCCCAUAUUAUUGGGGCCUAAAGCGUCCGUAGCU